CAAUAGCGUAUAUUAAAGUUGUUGCAGUUAAAAAGCUCGUAGUUGGAUUUGUGGCAUUUUGCCUGCCGUUUCCUUUGCCUAGUGCAUUGGUGUAUGUGCGGGCGUGCCUUUUUUGGUUGGAACCUGUGUGGCAUUAGGUUGUCGUGCAGGGGAUGGCCAUCGGUUACUGUGAAAAAAUUAGAGUGUUCAAAGCAGGCUUAUGCCGUUGAAUAUAUUAGCAUGGAAUAAUGAUAUAGGACCUUGGUACUAUUUUGUUGGUUUGCGCACUGAGGUAAUGAUUAAUAGGGACAGUUGGGGGUAUUCGUAUUCCAUUGUCAGAGGUGAAAUUCUUGGAUUUUUGGAAGACGAACUACUGCGAAAGCAUUUACCAAGGAUGUUUUCAUUAA
rnacentral:rRNA from 1 species